GUCGAAGGUGGGGCUGAUGACUGGGGUGAAGUCGUAACAAGGUAUCCGUACCGGAAGGUGCGGAUGGAUCACCUCCUAACAGGGAGACAACACAAUGAUUUUGAUGCCUAAGUGCUUUUAUUCUUAGGCCGAAAUCCUGUCACCUUAGGUCGAUCGGUACCUCAGCUUUGAAGUUAAGGAUCAGCAGCGAUGUUGAUUGCUUGAUGGAGAUUUUCAGUUCCUAAAUUUUGUCUAGGUCACACCCCAAAAGGGAUGAGACUCCUGGGCCAUUAGCUCAGGUGGUUAGAGCGCACCCCUGAUAAGGGUGAGGUCCCUGGUUCAAGUCCAGGAUGGCCCAUUCGGUGUUGGGGGUUUAGCUCAGUUGGUAGAGCGCCUGCUUUGCAAGCAGGAUGUCAGGAGUUCGAGUCUCCUAACCUCCACUGACCGAACUUGAUUCCCAUCCCCAAUUCUUUUGGAGUUGAGCUCGAUUGGAGUGUGAUUUAGAUGUGUCCGCUGGAUGACCCCAGCUUCCUGUCAUUCCAAGUUUUAGGUUAAAGCCUUGAAUUUGGCUGAUAAGAUGCUGGGCUCUGAUCAAAUGAUCAAGCAAUUGAUGAUUUGAUUUGAAGUUCUAGCAGAACCUUGACAACUGCAUAGGUGAGUCUGGAAAAAACAAAGCAUCUUACAGAUGCAUUGUUUUGAAUUUGAUCUUCUGAAAGGGAGGUUGGAUCUAGAACAAUGAAAAUUCUUUUUAGCAAGAGCCGAGACUCUUGAACGUUCUUGGAUUCGUGUCGAGCGAGUCAGAGUUUGAUCUUGUUUUUAGCAAUAAAAACUUGAGAAUCUGCUUUCAACUGCGGUAAGCGUUCAGGAGGUUAAUUGGUCAAGCUACAAAGGGC
rnacentral:misc_RNA from 1 species